rnacentral:rRNA from 1 species
GACGAACGCUGGCGGCGUGCUUAACACAUGCAAGUCGAACGGAAAGGCCCCUUCGGGGGUACUCGAGUGGCGAACGGGUGAGUAACACGUGAGUAACCUGCCCUUGACUUCGGGAUAACUUCAGGAAACUGGGGCUAAUACCGGAUAGGAAUCCUUGCUGCAUGGUGGGGGUUGGAAAGCUUCGGCGGUUUUGGAUGGACUCGCGGCUUAUCAGCUUGUUGGUGGGGUAGUGGCUUACCAAGGCUUUGACGGGUAGCCGGCCUGGGAGGGCGACCGGCCACAUUGGGACUGAGAUACGGCCCAGACUCCUACGGGAGGCAGCAGGGGGGAAUAUUGCACAAUGGGCGGAAGCCUGAUGCAGCAACGCCGCGUGCGGGAUGACGGCCUUCGGGUUGGAAACCACUUUCAGCAGGGGCGAAGCUUGUGGUGACGGUACCUGCAGAAGAAGCACCGGCUAACUACGUG